rnacentral:rRNA from 1 species
GACGAACGCUGGCGGCGUGCCUAAUACAUGCAAGUUGAGCGCUGAAGGUUGGUACUUGUACCAACUGGAUGAGCAGCGAACGGGUGAGUAACGCGUGGGGAAUCUGCCUUUGAGCGGGGGACAACAUUUGGAAACGAAUGCUAAUACCGCAUAAAAACUUUAAACACAAGUUUUAAGUUUGAAAGAUGCAAUUGCAUCACUCAAAGAUGAUCCCGCGUUGUAUUAGCUAGUUGGUGAGGUAAAGGCUCACCAAGGCGAUGAUACAUAGCCGACCUGAGAAGGUGAUCGGCCACAUUGGGACUGAGACACGGCCCAAACUCCUACGGGAGGCAGCAGUAGGGAAUCUUCGGCAAUGGACGAAAGUCUGACCGAGCAACGCCGCGUGAGUGAAGAAGGUUUUCGGAUCGUAAAACUCUGUUGGUAGAGAAGAACGUUGGUGAGAGUGGAAAGCUCAUCAAGUGACGGUAACUACCCAGAAAGGGACGGCUAACUACGUG